AUUUGACCUCAAAUCAGGUAGGGACACCCGCUGAACUUAAGCAUAUCAAUAAGCGGAGGAAAAGAAAAUAACAAUGAUUCCCCUAGUAACUGCGAGUGAAGAGGGACAAGCUCAAAUUUUAAAUCUGUCGGGUUUUACCUGACCGAGUUGUAAUUUGAAGAAGCGUUUUCUGCGUAUUUGGUCAGCCCAAGUCCUAUUGAAUGAGGCAUCAUGGAGGGUGAUAAUCCCGUCCGGUUGAUCAUUGCGUUUUAUGAUACGCUUUCUAAGAGUCAAGUUGUUUGGGAUUGCAGCUUAAAAUGGGAGGUAAAUUUCUCCUAAGGCUAAAUAACGGCGAGAGACCGAUAGCGAACAAGUACCGUGAGGGAAAGAUGAAAAGAACUUUGAAAAGAGAGUUAAACAGUACGUGAAAUUGUUGAAAGGGAAACGAUUGAAGCCAGUCGUACCUUCGGGUAAUCAGCCUUUCGGGCGCGAUUCUGUGAGGUGUGAGGAGCUAAACACCUUCAUGUUUUGCAUAUUCGUGCUCUUGGGUGUACUUGCCCGUGUGGUUGGUUAACAUCAAUUUUGGAGGCCAUAAAAUGGCUGGAGGAAUGUAGCUUCGAUCUCGUAUUGAAGUGUUAUAGCCUUCGGUAGAUGUGGUUUUCGAGAUUGAGGAUUGCAACGGAUACCCUUCGGGGCUACCUGCCUGAUCUCUGAUUGUUGCUCUGGUGCUGAAAGCUUGCUUAUGGUUAUCAAAGUCGAUGGUCAAUAGGUUAGAAUGGGUUAAAUUCGUUAAGGAUGUUGACGUAAUGGCUUUAAACGACCCGUCUUGAAACACGGACCGAGGAGUCUAGCAUAUAUGCGAGU
rnacentral:rRNA from 1 species